GCAAAAGUGUCAUACGAGAACGAGGCCUGGAACACACUCACAUUUGUAUGGAAGACAGCUGUACUACCCAUCGUUGACAGGCUGGAGAAAACAGUGGCAAUAAUGAAGACCGAUAGAAAUGAAAGUGAGUGAUACCCAGGACCCAGAUCAUAUGCACGGGAUAUCAGAUGACUACUGAACCCCCGAAGAAGUCCAGGCAAUAGACAGACGAAACGUGUAGGGUUGAGCUGCAGUAGAGAG